AACGAACGCUGGCGGCAGGCCUAACACAUGCAAGUCGAGCGAGGACUUCGGUCCUAGCGGCGGACGGGUGAGUAACGCGUGGGAACGUGCCCUUUGCUUCGGAAUAGCCCUGGGAAACUGGGAGUAAUACCGGAUGAGCCCUUUGGGGGAAAGAUUUAUCGGCGAAGGAUCGGCCCGCGUUGGAUUAGGUAGGUGGUGGGGUAAUGGCCUACCAAGCCGACGAUCCAUAGCUGGUUUGAGAGGAUGAUCAGCCACACUGGGACUGAGACACGGCCCAGACUCCUACGGGAGGCAGCAGUGGGGAAUCUUAGACAAUGGGGGAAACCCUGAUCUAGCCAUGCCGCGUGAGCGAUGAAGGCCUUAGGGUUGUAAAGCUCUUUCAGCUGGGAAGAUAAUGACGGUACCAGCAGAAGAAGCCCCGGCUAACUCCGUG
rnacentral:rRNA from 1 species